CUGACGAGCGGCGGACGGGUGAGUUAAUGCAUAGGAAUCUGCCCGGUAGUGGGGGAUAACCUGGGGAAACCCAGGCUAAUACCGCAUACGUCCUACGGGAGAAAGGGGGCUUCGGCUCCCGCUAUUGGAUGAGCCUAUGUCGGAUUAGCUAGUUGGUAAGGUAAUGGCUUACCAAGGCAACGAUCCGUAGCUGGUCUGAGAGGAUGAUCAGCCACAUCGGGACUGAGACACGGCCCGAACUCCUACGGGAGGCAGCAGUGGGGAAUAUUGGACAAUGGGGGCAACCCUGAUCCAGCCAUGCCGCGUGUGUGAAGAAGGCCCUCGGGUUGUAAAGCACUUUCAGCGAGGAAGAACGCCUGGUGGUUAAUACCCAUCAGGAAAGACAUCACUCGCAGAAGAAGCACCGGCUAACUCCGUGCCAGCAGCCGCGGUAAUACGGAGGGUGCAAGCGUUAAUCGGAAUUACUGGGCGUAAAGCGCGCGUAGGUGGCUUGAUAAGCCGGUUGUGAAAGCCCCGGGCUCAACCUGGGAACGGCAUCCGGAACUGUCAGGCUAGAGUGCAGGAGAGGAAGGUAGAAUUCCCGGUGUAGCGGUGAAAUGCGUAGAGAUCGGGAGGAAUACCAGUGGCGAAGGCGGCCUUCUGGACUGACACUGACACUGAGGUGCGAAAGCGUGGGUAGCAAACAGGAUUAGAUACCCUGGUAGUCCACGCCGUAAACGAUGUCGACCAGCCCUUGGGUGCCUAGAGCACUUUGUGGGCGAAAUUAACGCGAUAAGUCGACCGCCCGGGGGAGUACGGCCGCAAGGUUAAAACUCAAAUGAAUUGACGGGGGCCCGCACAAGCGGUGGAGCAUGUGGUUUAAUUCGAUGCAACGCGAAGAACCUUACCUACCCUUGACAUCCUGCGAACCCGGAAGAGAUUCCGGGGUGCCUUCGGGAACGCAGAGACAGGUGCUGCAUGGCUGUCGUCAGCUCGUGUUGUGAAAUGUUGGGUUAAGUCCCGUAACGAGCGCAACCCUUGUCCUUAUUUGCCAGCGAGUAAUGUCGGGAACUCUAAGGAGACUGCCGGUGACAAACCGGAGGAAGGUGGGGACGACGUCAAGUCAUCAUGGCCCUUACGGGUAGGGCUACACACGUGCUACAAUGGCCGGUACAAAGGGCUGCGAGCUCGCGAGAGUCAGCGAAUCCCUUAAAGCCGGUCUCAGUCCGGAUCGGAGUCUGCAAACUCGGACUCCGUGAAAGUCGGAAUCGCUAGUAA
rnacentral:rRNA from 1 species